ACAAAUAAGUCAUUAUUUGUAUCUCAUUUCAUGCUUGCUGCAACUGGAAUUGGACUAUGAAAGGUUGCAGCACCUUGCCUAAUUUAGGAGAUUAUUGUGUUGAUGAUUCAUAAAGUUUCAUUCAGCGGAGUGAUAGAAGCUAGUCCAACAUCUGACUGAUGCACCUGUGCUUUUUAAGUCAUUUAUGAUGAACUAAAAUUUAUACAUUUUUGCUGUUGGCAAGGUUUAUAAAAAUAGAAAUUGUGCUUUGUUGCCGCUGCUGGGCAUAUUUUGCUG
rnacentral:misc_RNA from 1 species